AUGCUAGUCAGAUUCGUUAACUGGUAAGCCAUGACAGGAACUCCUGCUCCAGCUUUCAACACAGUACCCAAACACAAGGGAUCCCGUUCUAGCUGAGCCGCUGAACAGACAGGACAUCACUGUGACUUCUGACGACAAGGUCAGAAGUGAGCAGACCCCACGAGGGUCAGGGUGAGCCUGAGCCACAUUCGGGCCAGACAACCAGGAGCAGGGACCUUCCUCGUGCGUCCAGUGAACUUACGUGGGCAACAGGGCGUCCGGGUGGUGACAGAGUACCUGCAACCACGGAUGCCGUGGAGAGGCUGAGACUCUUGGUCCCUCGCUUCCUCAAUUCCCUUCUUCUAGGCAGCUAAGGGCAGAGGCUGACGUGUUUGAGCCCUGGGGCUUGAUCAUGACUAACUGCAGGGGCCCCGGCAUCACCCACCCCGACGUUACCACUAGCCUAGGUAGCUGCUACUCUGUUUUGGUGUUAAGGUUCCCCUUAGCCAAUUGUAAUUAGGCACAGGCGCCGCUACUGCCCACGUGGCACGCGCCCCGGAAGCGCUUUCCGAGAACCGGAAGCAAGGCAGCUCUCCUGGGCCAGCCCUCCCGUCCCGCCCAUUUGGGUGGUGUCCCAAUUGGUGAAGCCUAGCUUAGCUCGAGAGCUGGGUCCGCGCCCGAGCAACCUUCCGCACCUGCAGCUAGGCUGCGGGGCUUUUCCCCUCUGGGGUUUUGGCGGGUGGCUUCCCGGUGCUAAGGAGGAGCCCGAGCGGAUGUAGGGCCCUCGGAAGCCCGUCGCGCCGCUUGGACACGGGUAGAGGAAGGCAAAGGAGACCUGACAGUCGGCGCGUGAGGGCCGACUGAGAAAACUCCAGAGAGACGAGGGUCUCUGGCCACCGUGGGCCGGACGCCUCGCGUCCAGCGCGGCCGGCGUCCGCGUUGGAAAAGACAGGGGCCAAGGGCGUCGCGGCAGCACCUAGGUCCACGUGGCUGGUCUGCCGGGGGCUCGCGUCCUGUCCGCGCUGUGUUCCUGUCUGUGGGGCUCAGGCGCAAUUGGAGAAAGAAUGAUGUCUUUACUUUCAGGAAAAACAUCAAAGACCAGGGCGGCGCAAUGUGGAGCACAUAUGGCGGUCUCCGAAGGCCGGGCCUGCCAAAACACGUUUCUCAGGAUUUUCCUCCUUCCCUUUUUGUCCAGCCCCGCCCCACCCCCACCCACAUCCUUUUUUUCUUUUUUCCUCCCCAAAUGGAGGGAGCGGCGGGCUCGGGUUACCGGGGCGUCCUGUGUCCGCUGGAGGCUGCAAGGCGAUCUAUCCACAAGGCCUUUCUGGACCUGUCUCUCCGGGAAGGGACUGUGGGGAUGGCAGAUCCGUGACUCGCCCAGGACCCAGCGCAGAAGCUCCAGGUCGCUUUUGGCAGUUUACCUGCAAAAGCGGAUGAGCACAUGAGCCCAGAGAACUGAUUUCCCCAGGUCACACAGCUGAGUCCAGGAUGGCUUCUUGCUCAGUGCCAUCCUCCUACGUGAAAUUUAUUGCAAAGAUGGACUCCAGGUUUAGAGCAUACCUCUGGACUUCUGCUGUCUGCAGAUAGCAGUUUCUACAAAGUCAACUUGGAACAGAUGAGAGCUAGUUUUAGAAUACUACACCUUCUAUUCCUUGAAGGGAGAGGAAGUGAUGAAGAGGAUUAACACCCUGCUUCUAAUUCUGGCCAACUCAGAGGCCCUGCAUGGAAAAUCAGAAGUGACUGGAAUCCUGGAAGAGGGCCACCUGGCCAUCAGAAAAUUCCAGAGGGAUGUGGUCACUGCCAGACACACACUUGUUUGAUCUGGUCCAAAUGGAGAGAAACUAACUAGUUUUGAAGCAUCCAAUUUUCAGAAGUUAUUGACUAAUAAAGGUGGUGGAAGACCAAAGAAGCAAAACAGGACUCUAAGAUGCAGAGACAGGGAGGAAGCAGCUUCCACUCCUGGGGAAGAGGUGGAAUCACCAGGCCUGAAAGCCAGUCCAGUGAGGGCCACACAGGCUGGUUCCCAGGCCUCAGGGCAGGGCUCUGCCUACUACUGCUUGGAGGAGAUGCUCCUGGAUCUGGGGCUCUGGCUCCCAUGGGGGCACCAGAUGGGGCCACCACUACCUCGGAUGGAUUCCAGUGAGGUCCAGGGAGCAUAGAGGGAGGCUGAAGACAGCAACUGACUGCUGCCCAGUGAACAGCCUUUGAGAGACUGAUGCUGAGAAGCAGCAAACAAAAAGAAGAAGGAAAACUUUUUUCCCUCAUGCCGUCCAGCCUCCCCCUUGGUUGCCCUGUAGGAAGCCGGCUAACCAAAGCAAAAGAUGGUUUCCAGACUGUUGGCCCCUGUGUCACAAAAGAGAGUAGAGAAGAGAGGGUCUGGGGCUGGGGGCCAGCAUCGUGAUCGAGCACAGCAUCAGAGGAACCUCUGGGUCUAAAGAGCAGGGGAACUUGCACCGGCAGGAUCAACAUUAAACUCUUUUGUUUCCAAGGCUGCUUUCCUGAUAGUUGAAUACAUUUGGGGAAACUAGUGCCACCAGCACAUUGAAGGACUGGAGAAAUCCUACACUAAAGGAUCCUGCUUGGCUUUAUUGAGAUAAUUAUUUCUUAAAUUUAUUUAUUGUGAAUUCCUUAUUUUUCAGAUGUAACAUUCCUCAGAGCAUGCAAUCUGUGUUAUCAAUGCUGUUCUAAAAAAGGUACCACUUAAGUCCAAACUGCUUUUUUAUCUGUUAGUUUCUAACAGGAAAAAAAAAAUCACAUCCAAGUGAACUAGGGAGAUAAAUAGACUUCUACCUGCAAAGUAUUGUCUAACUACUGCACUUUCAUAUCUAUAAAAGGGCUGCCCUUCACCAAACUGUGAAGAAUUCCUCAUUCAACCCAAGAAUCACCAACCACAAAACAAAGACCACCAGCUUCAACAAAAUUUGAGAGAAACAGGGAAGUGUUCCAUGAAACCAUGCAGACCGUCAUAAGGAGCUCUGGGUACCUGCUGCCCUUAAACAUACAAGGUAGCUUGAAAAUUAUCCCAUCAAGCAAGGAUGGCUGUAUUUUUAUUGAAGAGAUAAGGAACUUCACUCUCUACCUUUCCUUCACUUCUAGGCCUCCAAUUACUUCAGCCCCCUCCCUGCCUGCCUCAGGCUGGAAGAGGUAUCUGAUUGUAACACUAGACAUAGGCUGAGACACAAACACAGGGCACAGGGCAGUAAAACUCUCCACGUAGCAGAUGCAGGUAUAGGGGUGGAAAGCUUGUCUGCAAAGACAGGUGCUGAGAGAAAAGGCACAAGCAGGAUGCAGAGUGGGAUGGCAGGUGGGGGAGGGGGAUGGGGGGCAAGAGGAGGGAGGGAAGAAGGAUGGAAGGAACUAAAAACAACUGCUUGAUAAUUUUCCGGGCCCCUCGAAAACUGGCUCUAAGUUAUUCCUAUUCAGCUAGAAUGUGUCCAUCUCAUAGAAGUAUCUCCAUCAAGUUAUGCUAAUUUAGCUUUUACGUUUGAGUUGGAUUUUGUUCAUGGAGACAGCUCUGUCCUCUCUGAAAAUUUCUGAAGCAAAAGCAGUUUGGAUUGAUUUUACAUAUUUGCUUACUCCAUUCUAUAUCUUAAAAUUCCCAACACUUACAUGUGGAUGAAAGCAGCGACCACAUGACUUCAGCAUACCUCCUUUCAUCAUGAUGUGCUACCUACAAACCUGACAUGACAGUAAAUUCACAUUAAAACACUGAGGCCCUGUUCUAGUUCUGAGGACCAUUUCUGUCCUCACUUGAAAGCUGAUCCAAGUCUCUGGUAGUUUUUUAUCUCCAACACCCACUCAACAAAGGACAAAAGUUUCUGGAGCAGAGGCAGGAGACUCCAAACCCAGUUAAAUACACCCAAGUUCCAGGGAUUAAAAUCUCCUAUUAACACUCCAGCUGACUUAGUCUCUUUGUGAAAUUAGAUUUCUUUCACUGGAUCUGGCCUUACCGCACAGCCAAGGCAACAUGUCUAAAUAUUCCCCAAGCCAACUCCCAACCACAGCUUCCUUUGAAGGUGAUUUAUGAACAGCUGCUUCCACCUGUAUUCUUUUGUCUAAGGGACACGUCCUCCUCCACCUCCUAAAUUUGCUGGCCUUGUCUUGCUUUUCUUCUGCUUGGCUCCACUUUUUCCACCCCUUUGGAAUUAAUUGAUCUGUUGUCUAAACUUGACUUCAGCUGGAAUGCAGAUUUAUAUUUCCCUUUGCUCAACAGCCCACAACUGAAGGCCAGCAGCUACCACGUUCCCAAGUUCAUUUCUAUCCAUUGGACCCCAGAAUGUGCAGGAAGGUUGGUGUGCAAAUCCCAUGGAGUGCCCUCUUCCCAUCAGCAGAACUCUGGCCCCAAGUUACUUCAUAAAUAAAACAACCUAUGGGAGAGAGUACCAGUUAAGCUCUCUGGAGGCUUGAAAAACUAAAAAUAAAUAUUUCAGCAAUGUUUGAUUUUUCUCUUUAACAAUUUUAAAUGUACUUAGAAUUUUUUUCUCAAAUUCUUAGGGUCUAAUUAUACAGGUUGUUAUUGCUGAUGAUUCUAGAUUGCUUUUUUUUCAUGUAUUUUAUAAUUGAGAAUUGUGAGUUCAUUUGAGUGGACUUUAUCUACAGGAAUCGUGUGCAGGGCUGAAAAUCUGCCUUUCAAGAGAAGACUUUUAUUUACUUUUAUUGAGGGUUCCAGUAUUGUUAUCAGCCUGAGACUGCAUUUUAUUUUUUUUCUCUCUCUCCCGCUUUUUUAGGGCAUAUG